rnacentral:lncRNA from 1 species
UUUUUUUUUUUUUUUUUUUUUUUUGAGAUACGGUCUUGCUCGUCGCCCUGGCUGAAAUGCAGUGGCAUGAUCACAGCUCACUACAAACCUUGACUUCCUGGGCUCAAGUGAUCCUUGUACCUCAGCCUCCUGAGUAGCUCGGACUACAGGCAUGUGCCAUCGUGCCUGGCUAAUUUUUUAAUUUUUGUAGAGAUGGGGGUCUCUCUAUGUUGCCCAGACUGGUCUCAAACUCCUGGCCUCAAAUGAUCCUUCUACCUUGGCCUCCCAAAGUGCUGGGAUUACAGCCAUCAUGAGCCAUUGUGGCCAGCCCUCCUUUCAUUUUCUGCCCUUAAGGAAGAUGGAAAACACUAGCCAGUUAGUCUUUAUCCAGACCACAUCUUGUACUCUUUCUCUAAUGCCAAAUAACUAUACCGUAUGGACUCAUGGU